rnacentral:rRNA from 1 species
AUACGGAGGGGGUUAGCGUUGUUCGGAAUUACUGGGCGUAAAGCGUACGUAGGCGGACUGGAAAGUUGAGGGUGAAAUCCCGGGGCUCAACCCCGGAACUGCCUCCAAAACUUCCAAUCUAGAGAUCGAGAGAGGUGAGUGGAAUUCCAAGUGUAGAGGUGAAAUUCGUAGAUAUUUGGAGGAACACCAGUGGCGAAGGCGGCUCACUGGCUCGAUACUGACGCUGAGGUACGAAAGCGUGGGGAGCAAACAGAAGUAGAAACCCCAGUAGUCC